GUUUACUUUAGUCGUCUAGGCAACCGAAGAAGCAGCUGGAUCGCGCCGGAUGAAUCUGGUAUAAACUCGGAAUGGUUUCGACGGCAUCUACGCGAAAAUUGCAGGGACACACCAAACUGACUGUCAGCCAUCAGGUCACCCUACAUGCUGAAUCUGCGUCACAGUCAUCCUACUUGUUUAAUUUAAACUAGCAGUUAAGCAGCGGAUGAUAUAGAUCUGCAGAAGAUGAUUGGUUGAUGAACACAGGUAAACAGAUGAUGACGACAACAGAUAACCACACAUUCAGGUCAUCCUACCUCUUCAAAUUUUACUACUAGGACAAUCUAAAGCAUUUUGUACAGUCAGGUAAUCCUACCCACUCUGUGGGUGGUACUAUAAUCCCUCCUUUCCUUAUAUACCUAGGGUCUUACUAAACUGGGUGAAUGGUUAUAGUAGGACAAAUAUUGCAGUGCGUAUAUAAUUCUAUUGUCUGUAUUGUAACAUAUUGUGUAGAUAAUUUGCCGUAUUAAAAAAAUAAAGUUGUCCUCCGAAGAGGGGGGGUGGUGGCAGGCCAAAAAAAGUAGGAUAAUCUGAAAGAAUUUUGCACUUUCAGGUCAUCCUACUUGUUUAAUUUAUACUAGUACGGCAAGCGAAAGCAUUUUGCACUUUCAGGUCGUCCUCCAUGUUUAAUUUAUACUAGUUGGACAAUCUGACAGCAUUUGGUACAGUCAUGUUAUCUUCCCUGUUUAAUUUAUACUAGUAGGACAACCUGACAGCAUUUUGUACAGUCAGGACAUCCUACCCAUUUAAUUUAUACUAGUAGGACAAUCUGACAGCA